rnacentral:lncRNA from 1 species
CACAAACAUCUGAAAGGUGUCAAAUUGGUGCACAACGCUUGAGGCACAGCUUACAUGCAGACAACACGACAAAUGACUAGAUGUCUUUCUCUCCAUCAUUUGACCAUGUGUGGAAGGAUUACACAAAAUAGGAAGUACGGCUGAUUCCAUACUCAUAGCAACAAUCCUCGCUCACAUUCCCCGCACCUGCAGUCAGACCACUAACGUAAUAUUAUUAAUACCAGCACUAGUAAUGUUAUGAGGUAGUUCUGAGGUCAUUCUAAACACUGACUCGAGUGCCAUUUUGUGUUUUGCGGGGCAGGUUGGCCCCCAGGCAGAAGCGAGAGAUCCAGACAGCCAUCAGGAAGAACAAGGAAGCAAACGCCGUGCUGACCCGCCUCAACAGUGAGCUCCAGCAGAAGCUCAAGCUUCUUCUACACAUUUGUUCGAACAGAUCUUCAUGUAAAAGAGACUCGUAUGUUCUUUGGCCUCUCUCUCAUUCACUCCUUUAUCUUGUCACCCAUGGG